GACGAACGCUGGCGGCGCGCCUAACACAUGCAAGUCGAACGGAGCUUAGAGAGCUUGCUUUUUAAGCUUAGUGGCGAACGGGUGAGUAACGCGUGAGUAACCUGCCCUAGAGUGGGGGACAACAGUUGGAAACGACUGCUAAUACCGCAUAAGCCCACGACCCGGCAUCGGGAAGAGGGAAAAGGAGCAAUCCGCUUUGAGAUGGCCUCGCGUCCGAUUAGCUAGUUGGUGAGGUAACGGCCCACCAAGGCGACGAUCGGUAGCCGGACUGAGAGGUUGAACGGCCACAUUGGGACUGAGACACGGCCCAGACUCCUACGGGAGGCAGCAGUGGGGAAUAUUGCACAAUGGGGGAAACCCUGAUGCAGCGACGCCGCGUGGAGGAAGAAGGUCUUCGGAUUGUAAACUCCUGUUGUUGAGGAAGAUAAUGACGGUACUCAACAAGGAAGUGACGGCUAACUACGUG
rnacentral:rRNA from 1 species